GUCUGCGUAUGCGCUUGCGCCGGCCUAGCGGCCUGCGGCCAGGACCGCCCACGCGAGGCUUUUUCUGCGCUUGCUCCACCUCCGCACGCAGCUGGCCGCCCGGGGUUGUCCGCGCGUGUUCGUCGCUCUGAAAGUCCCAUCCGCUGCUUGUCCUCGAGUCCUGGGGUGUGAGGAAGCGAAAAGGGACUGGGCGAGCGGUGGGAUACCUCUUCGGUGAAGGGUAUAAGAAGAAGUUAGCAGUCUACAAGCCAGAAAAAAAAUUUCUCACCCGGACUCAACCAUACUGGUACCCUGAUCUUGGAUUUCCAGUCUCCAGAAAUGACAAACAUCUGGGUUCAUUUGGAAAGGAAGUCCAUCAAUCAUACUGCACAGUGGAAUUUAGAAAGUGCUAAAGACACAAAGUGAAGAAGUUUCCUAAGAGAAUAUAGAGGGAAGAACAUCACUCUACUGUUACCAAAAUCUCUAUUUGUGAUAAGGAAAUGAAGACAAUUGCUAUGUCCUGCUCGCUGCUUGCCGCUUGCAGUGGGGAGUGACUCCAGGACCCUGCUUCACACAGCCCUGGGGUCCUUCCCAUGAAGCUUGGUCCAACAGAGAAGCGAGCACCCAAAGGAAGUCCAUGCACAUCCUGAGCGGUGGACAAAAGCCAAGACUUGACAGGUUUACAAAUAAGAAAACCAUGGCACAGAAAAUUUAUGGUAUUUCCCAAGGAAGAUUCAACAGUCUAAAAUCCUUGUCUAUAUUAAAAAGCAGGAAAAGCUCUGAGUCAAAUUAUAACAUCUGUGCUAUCUCCAAGUUACUGAAAGUUCCAGAAGGGCACCACAUUUUUCUGGAGAAACAAAGGUACAUGAUCAUAAAGGUUUCCUGGCAGACCCCAAAAGACUCCUGAACCUAUUGAUCACAAGAACAGCGUUGCUCUCGUUUAUCACUUGGAGGAGAAAGAAGAACCGGAAAGGAACCAGUUAUUUACUAGAAGAGUAUUUUUGCCUGCACUUCCUACUGAUGGAACAUAAAGUGACACGCCUGACAUGGGAGACAGAUGCCUGCGUGUGGAAUGCCUGCUUGCAUUCCCCAUCUUCAUCCCCUAGAGACUCACCUGUGCUUUCAAUAGUUCCACACAUUUACGCAAUUUUCCAA